GGGCCCGCACAAGCGGUGGAGUAUGUGGUUUAAUUCGAUGCAACGCGAAGAACCUUACCAGGGUUUGACAUCCUGCGAAUCUCUUGGAAACAGGAGAGUGCCUUCGGGAACGCAGUGACAGGUGGUGCAUGGCUGUCGUCAGCUCGUGUCGUGAGAUGUUGGGUUAAGUCCCGCAACGAGCGCAACCCACGUCUUUAGUUGCCAGCGAGUCAUGUCGGGAACUCUAGCGAGACUGCCGGUGCAAACCGUGAGGAAGGUGGGGAUGACGUCAAAUCAUCACGGCCCUUACGUCCUGGGCCACACACGUGCUACAAUGGUAGGGACAGAGGGCAGCUACCCCGCGAGGGGAUGCGAAUCUUCAAACCCUAUCACAGUUCGGAUCGCAGUCUGCAACUCGACUGCGUGAAGCUGGAAUCGCUAGUAAUCG
rnacentral:rRNA from 1 species